AAGCAUUUUCCAUUAGUGUUUAGGUAUGAAAUAGCUAGCUUCCUGAUAGAAAAAGGCAAAUGAGGAUCAGUUUUUCUAGGUCUCUAAGUAGUUCAGAUGAAUUAAUGAAUAAAAUUCUAUUUAUCUCAAUUUCACUUAUCAUUUCAGGAGUGCUAUGAAAAUGAAUUACCAAAACUGCUGGUGGCAGUGAGACUGGUAUAUUUCUGGAGCUCCACCAUGAAUCAACACAAAGAAAAAACCUGAAACUCAAAUGAGCUUAAUUUGAUUUGGUAGGAGAGCAAACCAUCAAUUAAAAUAAUAAAUUAUGUGUAACAUUAUAAAUCA